rnacentral:rRNA from 1 species
CCUACGGGGGGCUGCAGUGAGGAAUAUUGGUCAAUGGACGAGAGUCUGAACCAGCCAAGUAGCGUGAAGGAUGACUGCCCUAUGGGUUGUAAACUUCUUUUAUAUGGGAAUAAAACGUUCCACGUGUGGGAUUUUGUAUGUACCAUAUGAAUAAGGAUCGGCUAACUCCGUGCCAGCAGCCGCGGUAAUACGGAGGAUCCGAGCGUUAUCCGGAUUUAUUGGGUUUAAAGGGAGCGUAGGUGGAUUGUUAAGUCAGUUGUGAAAGUUUGCGGCUCAACCGUAAAAUUGCAGUUGAAACUGGCAGUCUUGAGUACAGUAGAGGUGGGCGGAAUUCGUGGUGUAGCGGUGAAAUGCUUAGAUAUCACGAAGAACUCCGAUUGCGAAGGCAGUUCACUGGACUGCAACUGACACUGAGGCUCGAAAGUGUGGGUAUCAAACAGGAUUAAAUACCCGUGUAGUC